AAAGCGCACGUAGGCGGCUUUGUAAGUUAGAGGUGAAAGCCUGGAGCUCAACUCCAGAAUUGCCUUUAAGACUGCAUCGCUUGAAUCCAGGAGAGGUGAGUGGAAUUCCGAGUGUAGAGGUGAAAUUCGUAGAUAUUCGGAAGAACACCAGUGGCGAAGGCGGCUCACUGGACUGGUAUUGACGCUGAGGUGCGAAAGCGUGGGGAGCAAACAGGAUUAGAUACCCGUGU
rnacentral:rRNA from 1 species